GUUCUUUCUAAGGCACAGAAUAGUGUGUGAUAAAGUGCCAGUCACGUGGGACAAACAUGAGCAAUGAGAAGAAAGAAGAUUCUGCUUCCUGUGAAUUGAGUAAUCCCAGCCCUGGUGGAGGAGGUGGUGUGUGAGCUGGCAUAGAAGGAUGUGCAGGAUGCCAGUCAGUGGUAGAAAAUGAGCUUGGAAAGCUACCUUGUGGGAUUUGGUACCUGGAACUAUGGUCCCAGGCUAAGAACUGAGAUUUCCUCCUGGAAUUUGUGUGUGUGUGUGUGUGUGUGUGUGUGUGUGUGGCAGCAGAUGAAGGAAGGACUUGUGAGCAGAGCAGUCACAUCCCAUGUGUGCAGCUGCGGGAAGAUGAGGCUGGCAGUGCUGUGCAGGAUGAGCCUGGGGAGGAGUACGUGGAACUGAGGAAAUCAGGCUCCAUUCAGACAGGAGGAAUUAACAGAAUGGAGGACCUGUAUUGGGGAUGGCCAUUGAGGUGGAAAACACUAACAAAGGGGAGAGGAUCUAUCAAAUUGGUGAUCAUUCUGAAUUAUAAAAAGGUAUUUUUUAAGUGGCUAUACAGCUUUCAACCAUAGGCAGUAACUUGGAUGCCAAGAAAAGUCAUCAAGUGGUGUGUGUCCAUUUUUUAAAUAUAAAAACUCUGGCUCAGUUUUGGUGUAGGACAUCUAUUAUUUGCUUGCAUCCAGUAGUUGCUCUUUAGAAUCAUACAUUCGCUUAGAAGGAUUAAUAGUUAGUCUGUUCAUCUGCCAUGCUUGUUUCCACUAUUAAUUUACUUAGUCAGCUUACAAAAAAUGUGUCUUACCAAAAAGGCACAUUUCAAGCCCCACUCAGAUCCUCACAAAUUUUACUAUAGUAAUUCUUCACCUCUAUUAUAUAUAUUGUUAUUUUUUAUUUUGGGGGCAAACUCUGUUUCCAGACAUGUUCUUCUGGUUGAAGAACGGUGACUAGAGAAUAUACAUAAAAACACAUAAAAAUGUAUGUCCUCAAGAAAGAUUGAGAUGGCGUUUUUGAAUGACAGUAUACAUUUGGGGAUAGGGUUGUAAGGUUUCUUUGAACUAUUAUGCUGUGAAAUAUAUUCUACUAGAAAUAGAAGCAAACUGAUCAUACUCUGUCAGGGAUGGAUAGGUGUGGAGGACCAGGGAAUUUCAUCACAGAGCUGAAGGCUUGUUGAGGAGCUUCACUUCCACUGUGGUAACCCUCCCUGCAAGGAUCAGGUGGGAGAAUGGUUAUAAAGGUGUUAUUCCCACUUUUAAUACUGGUAGUAACAAUGGGUAAUAAUCACUGCACUUUUACUUUGCUAGGUGCUGCGUUAACACUUUAUGUGUAUCAACUCAUUUAAUCUUCUCAACAACCCUGGAAGUAGAGGAUAUUGUUGUCCCCAUUUUAUAGUAAGGCUCAGAAAAUUUAGUUAACUUGCCGAAAACUACACAACCAGGCAGAACCAAUAUUCAAACCCAGACCACUGGACUUCAGCAUCCAUGCUGUUAACCACCUUGCAGCAAUGCCCUCUAAGGUAGUAUGGGUAAAAGAUAGUAUGGGUAGCUCUUCAAAAGUUGGAGAAAUUCCUGGUGAAAUAAAAACAACUUUAAAUACUGCAUUUUUACCUAGACUUGAGGGAGGAAAUGGUCUUCCUUGGUGCUGUAGUAUUUGAGCUGAAUCAGGUGAGCCAUGGCAAGCUGAGGACCCGCCCCCUAAACUGCCCAUGUUUGCAAUAAAAGAAGCGUCCGUUUCGGUUGGCUUUGUUGGGCAGAAGAAAUGCCUUACAACUCGACUGAAGAAGAACUUGAAGGGAGAAAGCCUGCACGGCCACAGGAGGCAGCUGUGUGCCUGGUAUGCAGGGAUGAGCUCUGCAGUGGCUUUAGCCACGGAUCUGAGCAUGUGUCCGAGGUGCUCCCAGGAGCAGUGCCACUGCAGGAGAGGCACACGUCAGAGAAGACAGCACCCCAGUAUGAGAUGAUGGAAAGGGUUCUUCCAUUCCAGAUGUGUUCCCAGGAUCUGAGCACCAUUCAUAAGACCAAGGCAGCCACUGUAGGACCUGGCUCAUCUCCAAGGAGUAAAGGGACCAGAUACCUUGUGUGGGGGAAACUUGAUUGAAAUAAAUAUUGCAGCAAGGGAGAAAGGAAUCCUAAAACUAUACUGAAAGAGCAAGUGACUUAGGUUGGAAUCCCCUGGGAAGGACCCUAACACAAGGAUUUGAGUGUAAGUAGUUUAUAUGGGAGGUGGUCCCAGGAAGCACAGAUAGAAAAGAGAGGAAGAUGGCAUGGGGAAGGGAAAGCGGGCUGUAAGAGUGUGUGAUUGAGUGGGUUAUCACUCAUAGCACCUGGUGCUCAGUCCCAUUGGGGAACCUUGGAUGACUGUGUAGGGCAUGCCUCAGGGAUAUCCCAUUCAAGGAGUAGGAAAGGGAGGUUUUUCCCCUCCAGGUCUGUCACUACCAGAGUGCCACGCCUGGCUCCUCUUCUGGUGCUGCACAGCAGCUGAGAGAAACGCUUGGGCCAAGAGGCACAGGUGCUUAGAGGAGGACACUGGGCAGGUACUGGAAUGAUGAGGGCCCAGGGAUAUGGGCCCGCCCUCUCACACCUGCUAAGGGAAAUAACAGUGGGUGGAGGAGGUAGAGGUUAUUCCUUUGAGUUCUCUGUAUAAGCCCGAUUUCUUAUCCUUAUUAGCCCACAGUGCCACCUUCACCAGCAGCCUCCUUGAAUCACUGCUCAACUAUAAACAACACAAAAAUCUCCCUAGACGGGGGCUCUGAGCAGUUGCCUUCACGGGGAACGUGGCCCUCGGUUCUGCCAUUCUCAAAGUUAUGGCUGUACUUGAUUUAGACAGAGCCAUGACAAGUCAAAAAGUAGCCUCUCUGUGUUCAGCUGGACCUUUUUAUAUUAACUGAUUUCUUAUUUAUAUGUGUUUGUAUUCAGAAAACAAUUAGAAAUUAACCCGAAUUACACAAAUUGUAUUUCAAGCCCUGGCCCUAAAACUACAUCUGCAGAUCUGCAGACCUUUUUUUCAAGAGAGGGUAGAACAUGCUCUUCUCUCCCAGCUCACUUGACAGUAAGCUUCCACAUGGCAGGGCCCAGCCCCUUCUUGCCUGCCACACCACCCCACAGCACCCUGCACCUGGUGAGUGAUGAUAACCUGCUGACCUGAAAGGAGGAAGAGGGGUGGGCUGCUCUCUGAGUGAAGGGUACUCCCCAUUUCAUGUGGUGUUCGAGGGCAGAUGACAUUUGGACUCUCCACUCCUGCUUUUGGGGGUGCCUUCCAAGGAGCUGGUGGGGAGUGUGGCUCUGAUGGACAGCUCCCCCAUGGGUCUUUCAGGCACUAUUCUAAGGAUUUUAUAUAAUAUAGGCGUAUAGAAAUACACAUUGGUUACAGCAACCUUACAAAAUAAGAACUAUUUUAAUACCCAUUUUACAGAUUAAGAAAUGGGAGCUCAAAUAAGUAACUUAAUUUCUUAGUCACACAGCUAGUAAGUGGCAUACUGGUCUGGAGUCUUAAUAAAUACAUCAGUCUGCUUUUCAGUUACUGGAAGAAAGGAUUUACUUAGGAAAAUGGUGGGAGAGGGCCUUUUUUAAAGGUAUUAGCUACUCUCUCAUAGUCAAGAAGGAAAGACAGUAUUUUUAUAACUUACCCAUUGUGGGGACAUUUGGCUAGCCAGCUGUCUUCCUUUGCUCUUCUCUGUGGCAGUAUUCUGUGGCAAGUGUAUUAUGUGACAGAGGCUCUAACAAGUGAGAAAAUCGUAUUCACAGAUAGAGGUGCCUAUCGUGUAGUGGAAUGAGGGGGAAGAGAAAAAAAGUGGAUGAGAAGGGGAAAAGAAACGUAAGUCAAUUUAACAAGAAAAAGAUAAAUUUUUGUGGGGAAACACUGUUUCUUUUCUCCUUUUGAUAGUAGAAAAGGAUUUAUAGAAGCUCCAUAGGAGAACGAGUAUUGAGUUCUUGUUCUUUAGAAGACUUUCCAAAUUCAUAUAGUCCAUGAAAUACUGUAUUAUUAGAAAAAGAUAUACUUCAUGCAGUCUUAAAAAAAAAGUUAGUGCCUAGAACUUUCUUGGAAAAGAAUCUGGUAGUAACAGUCACGAUGAAUACACACAUAUGCUUUGUGCCAGCAGUCCCACUUUUGGUAAUCUGUGCCCUAGAAAGAAAAUCUUUUGUUCAAAACGGCAAAAAUAUAGUCUGCGUGUUGCAACAUUAUUUGUAGCAGCAAAAACACAGAAGCAGCCUGAAUGAGCAGCUGCAGAGGAGAGGCUGAGCUAGGGAGAGAGAGCACCCUCAUGAUCAAGUAUUCUGCAUAUGGCGCCCAGAAUCCAGUGCAUUCCUCAUGAUCUGGGCAGCGUCCAAGGAAUAUUAUUAAGAGAGCAAAGCAGGUUGCGGAGAGUUGCUUACAACAUGCUCUCACUUUGUACAAGUGGCCAAACCUUACCAGCAAGGAAUUAGUUGUCCUGGGUUUGAAGGAAGGUGUGAAUAGGCAUCCUAACUGGUUUGCUUCAGUUACUUCAUGGAGGGGAGAGGGAGGCAAUGAGCUGGGGAAAAUAAGUAACUUGUUCUUUACAUCCCUUUGCCUUAUGUCUCAUUUCUAUAAUUUAAUAAUUUUUAUACGAUUUUAAAAAUUAAACCUAUGAAGAAGGGAUGAGCAGGUGGUUAGUUCAUUUUAGGAAGAAGGAGCCUGCUUGUGGUUGAGACUGUUCUUUUAAUUGUGGGGGAGUGUGAGUUGCUUACGUCCUUACUCAAAUCCCUCAGAAUUAUAGAAAAUUGGAGGUGCCUUUCUAUCCCUCUGAUGUAGUUCUGCAUAUUUCUUUUGUGAAUGGAGAUCUCUAAGAGAGUUUUAUCCUGAGUUACCCUAUUUGGGGAUGGUGGAGCAUAUACAGGGGAUAUUGAAUUGUAUUAUAAAAAGAAAGGGCUGUUACCUUGACAGUUUUAGGUAUUUGUUAAGCCUCUUAGGAAGUGUUACUUGAAAACCAUAACUUAACUUUGUAUUACUUUGACCAAGACAAUUGCUUAGGCCUACGGAUGUGAAACAGUGGUUUUGGGGUGUUCUGUUUAUUUUGUGAAAGUUACCUGCUGUCACUAUUUUGGAAUGCCGAAUUUCUCUUGAAGCUCAUACCUGCUUUUCUCUUACUCUUCCAUUUACCCCACAUAGACUAGGUUUUAUUUAUCAUAUACAAGUUCUAUUCAGGGUCUAUCUUAGUGAGAUCAGAUUUUGAGUUAUUUGAAGUUAGAAAUUAGGCACAGGCUUCAGAUUCACUAUUAGGGAUUUUUAUGUUUGUUUUUAAAAGCUGUGGUUCAGUAAUGCAAUUUGAGUUUGACUGACUCAGUUUUGAAUAUUGUAGCAUAAGAGGUUUGCAUUGGAGUCCUGGUAUCUGAGUUUAAAUCCUGGCUCUGUGAACAUGGACAAGUUGCUCAACCUGGCUAAGUCUCAUAAGAGUAGGGCUAAUAAUAAUGAUUGUUUUCAUAAUAUAAAUCUCUUAGCUCCUCCUUGUCACCUCGUACAUGCUUGAUAAAUGUUCCCUGCUCUUGAUGCCACCGUCACCACCAUCAUUACCAUUGUUGUUCUCCACUAGGGUAGCCUUACUUUGAUCCUGGAUUCUUGCCACUUAUUUAAGAUAGUGAAGAGGUUGGUGUGGGGGUAGGGAGACUACCUAUGAAUUGAAGAAAUAGGAGGUAAUAGCACUUGAUGGUGACAAUUCGUAAAGAUUGAUUUUGUGCAAGAUAAUUUACAGAAUACACCAUUAAAGCCUAAUUUAACAGAUAUAUCUUAAAUUUAGAUAGUUCCAAUAACUGUUGAAUUUCAUGGCCAGAGAUAUCUCUCGAUGGUCUAAGUUGUGAGAUUUUGGUGAUGACUACAUUUGUCAUGGUGGCAACAUGUAAGAAGAAGACUUAAAAAUCACAAUGGCAUACUGUAUUAGUUUGCUAGGGCUGCCAUAACAAAAUACCACAAACUGGGUGGCUUAAACAACAGAAAUGUGUUUUUUGAAGUUCUGGAGGCUGGAAGUCCAAGAUCAAGGUGCCAACAGGGUCGCUUUCUGGUGAGGCCUUUCUCCUUGAGUCAUAGAAGGGGCCUUCUCACUGUGUCCUCAUGUGCCUUUUCUCUCUGUGCAUGAACUGAGAGAUCAUUGGUAUCUCUUCCUCUUAUAAGGACACCAAUUCUAUUGGAUUAAGGUCCCACCAUUAUGACAUAAUUUAACCUUCAUUACCUCCUUUAAGGCCCUAUCCUUUAAGCCACAGUGGGGAUUGGGACUUCAACAUAUGAAUUGGACACAAUUCAGUGUGUGAUACGUGUAUCAUGUAAAAUAUGUAUAAUAAUUUUAUAAUAAACAUAUAACUUCAGGAUUGUUGGAUGUAAAUUAUUGUUAAUGGAUUUUUAAAAAUCUUCUCAAUGUGACUUAAGAACUUGCUUACAUAGAAAUUAAAAACAAUAAUUGUACCAUGUGAGAAGCUGAAAAUUUGGUCUAACAGCUUCAUUUCUGUUCUGCAUUUAACUUGCUGCUUCUCAUUCCCUUGUCUGUGAAGAUAAUAAGAAGAAGAAAAAUAAAGAUUUCCUUAGCAUUUUGCAAAA
rnacentral:lncRNA from 1 species